rnacentral:misc_RNA from 1 species
GGAGAGGUUGCCUUGCUAAAAGCGAAUGCUUUGGUCUUUCAACUACAUCUUUCUACUAUGGUGUAUGCCAAAAGCAUGUGUGCUAUACAGUCAUGCAAUAUACAAGAUGAUUACUUAAGUUGUAAAUUAAAAUUUGCUUAUAAACAUCAAAUUAAAGAAAUGAAGCAAGAGAUAGAAAAACACACCAAUUUAAGAACUAAUUUUACAACACAACAUUGUAAAACCAUAAACUUAAAUCUGCAAAGUACUAUAAAUCUACUAGUUAUGUUGUUCAGUCGAAUGAAUAUUAUGGUCCCCUGUUCUAAGACUGACAGCUUCAAUCUGUUCGAGUGUCUCUACUACUUCUUUCAUUGAUGGUCGAAGAAGGGGUUCAGGCCGAAGACAUUUAACUGCAAGAUAAGCUAUUUGUUUGGCCUCUUUGGAAGGAUAUUUUCCCUCCAACCGAGAGUCCAUUAUAUUUUUCAAACCUUUCCUCUUGGUCAGAUGUGGUUUAACCCAAUCAACUAGCACACGUUGCCCAGACGGACGCUUUCUAUCAAAUGCCCGUAAGCCUGUCAGCAUCUCAACCAAAACAACGCCAAAACUGUAUACAUCACUCUUUACAAACAAAUGACCUGAUCAGUUGUGGAAAUCGAUGUCAUAACCAGUUCUGAAGCUUGCUGUGAUAAUCAAACUGGCUAAAUACGCUAAAGAAAAGGAUUAGUUUGCUUGAGACAUUCAAGUCCAAGAAGAUCAUAAGAACAAAGAAGUACCUGUUGAAACGUACUCUGGAUCAGCAUAACCAAGUGUGCCCAUGACAAGAGUACUGACAUGUGAAUUAUCAGUCAAAGGACCAAAAAAUGCUAAUCCAAAGUCUGCGAUCUUUGCAUCAUAGAACUCAUCAAGCAGUAUGUUGGAAGACUUGAAA